rnacentral:rRNA from 1 species
AUGGGUGAUGGCGUGCCUUUUGUAGAAUGAACCGGCGAGUUACGAUCUGAUGCAAGGUUAAGCAGCGAAUGUGGAGCCGUAGCGAAAGCGAGUCUGAAUAGGGCGUUGAGUAGUUGGUCGUAGACCCGAAACCAGGUGAUCUACCCUUGGUCAGGUUGAAGUUCAGGUAACACUGAAUGGAGGACCGAACCGACUUACGUUGAAAAGUGAGCGGAUGAACUGAGGGUAGCGGAGAAAUUC